UCACUCACCGCAACCUAGUGAUUCCGGCCAUGAAAGCCUUCUUACGAUACAAUGUUGUCUACAAAGUAGACAGGGACACCAUUAGGCCUUCUCUUUCUUUCUGCCACUCCUCUGUGACUCUUCUUUUCUCCUCCCCUCUCUUUUUUUCCUUUCCAUAAUAGUAAUAAUAGUAACUUUAUUCUUGUAUCCCACCACCAUCUCCCUGAAGGCUUACACACGGCACCAAGUGCCAAAAACAGAAUAUAAAAUAAAACACCAUUUAAAAAUACAGUUGAAAAAACAUAUAGACAUAUUACAUGACAACUUAAAACUCAGUUUAAACAGCGCUCAUCAACCAGUGUCGGUAAGCUACCGUAAAUGUGACCAGGCUGUAAAUAAUUGGGAUAAGUCCAAAGCUGUAACAAUGGGAAAAGGGACAUGGGAAAAGUGUCUCCCUCUUUUUUAUACCACCUCCUUUGUGUCUCUAUGCUAUUCCUUUGAACCUGGGUCUCCUAAUCAAUAGUCACAUCACUAGACCAUACUCAUCCUAAUAGUUUGUUAUUGUGUGCCUUCAAGUCAUUUCCAACCCUAGGGCAAACCCAUCACGGGGGUUUCUUGGCAAGAUGUGUUCAUGGUUUUGCCUUUCCCUUCCUCUAAGGCUGUGACCUACCUAAGAUCAUCCACAGUUGUACAGGGAUUCGAACACUGGGGACAGUCAUAAUUCAGUGCUUAAACCACUACACCAGGCUGGAUCAAGUAGUGUUUCUAGCUCUGUGUAAUGUGCAAAAUGGUCCUCAUUUCUUUAAAAUGGCUCUCCUCUUAUCCGACGUCUCCUCCUUGCCGUAGCUGGACUGGAGCCUCCGUGUAUCCAUCCUUUUGUGUCAGUGGAUACGCAGCUGCUGACUCAUUGUGUGGCUGGGGGAAAAUGAUUCAGGUGGUGAUGGAGAAGCAAAAGCCUGGGAAUGUUGAUUGUAACCUCUUCAGAUGAGAGAGAAAGAAGCAAGCCAGGGAUUCGGGAAAGAGCAUUACAAUGAUGCAGCUGAUUAGCAGGCUGUUCCAUGUCCUUCUUGCCUCAAGUGCUGUAACCACGGAAAUGUAGGUCUUUGCUGAUUUCUAAAAGCCAGAGUCAUUCUUCCUUCUCCCAUCCGCCCCCACUCCAUCCCCGAUUCGCA
rnacentral:lncRNA from 1 species